GGACUACCGGGGUUUCUAAUCCUGUUUGCUCCCCACGCUUUCGCGUCUCAGCGUCAGUCACUGUCCAGAAGGCCGCCUUCGCCACCGGUGUUCCGCUUGAUAUCUACGAAUUUCACCUCUACACCAAGCAUUCCACCUUCCUCUCCAGGACUCUAGCUGCGCAGUUUCGAGUGCACUUCCACGGUUGAGCCGUGGGAUUUCACGCCCGACUUGCGCUGCCGCCUACACGCGCUUUACGCCCAGUAAUUCCGAACAACGUUCGCACCCUCUGUCUUACCGCGGCUGCUGGCAC
rnacentral:rRNA from 1 species